UACAUUAAUCUGUCACAUUCACAAAGCAUUUCUAAACUCGAAAUCAUAAAUAAAUAUACAAGAUUUUUUAUUGUUACCACAAAACUAAAAGUUAUUUGUAUUUACUGUACUUAAACAAAUGAUUUAAAGAGUGUUUAUUGAAAAUCUACUCUGAAAUACUCGAGUCGAGUCAGGCUUAUGUCUCGUGACCUAUAUUUUUGGACCGUAACCGAAAAUAGAGAAAUUUAUCUAGUGCCAUAAAGCUGUGCUAGAAAAAAUGUAUAGCACAUGUUCUAGAAAAUGUUGUAUGUCUCGGUAAAGAUUUUACAACUUUACUUCCAGGUGAGAAGCUGCAACCCAUAUGCUGUGACAGCUUUAUUACAGAUUCAGCGGGCCCGUUGUUCAUGCUGUGUACAGUGCUGUGAGCUCUGCCGGCAAAAGUUCUAGAGAAUGUUGUGUGUCUCGAAAGAUGCCUGGUGUCGAGAAGAAAAUGCGGUUCGGUGUUGGUGACAUUUUUCCGAUACAUUUCAGUGGCAGCUUUGAAACCCUUUGUGUAUGGAUAUGUCGUCAGAUGAUGUGGACAAAAUCUGAGAAUCCGUUUCACAUCUGGAAGCGACCUGACCUGCCGCUUCAGUGCACUUAUGGAACACCAGGAGUUACUUCCCCUCAUGUCCACAAACCAGUUUACUACUCAACUGUACCACGGAAUUUACGGUCAGAAGCAAAGUGACAACAUAGAUCAAAGAUAUUUUUGUGACGUCAAGAAUCCACUGCGCAUGUGUGUGCGGGAGACUUCCGGGCUGUAGAAAGUUUAACUUCAACGAGCCUAGUCUAACUUGUGACUACUUAAAGGGAGUUCGAGCCAAGGGGCGACAACCGCUGACGCAUCAUCAGAACUCUGGAAAGAGCUAUAAAACGUUAUGAACGCACAAGUGCACAUGGAUUUGAUUCUUUUCAUUUCAGCAUACUUUUCAAAGAAUCGUCUGUUUAUGCAGUUAAUUAAUUUUAAAGGAUCCCUUCUUAUUAAUGGAAAAAAAAUGUAGUGGUUUUCGUUUCUAAAACUAUAAUUAUGUAAAAAUUACCAAAUGUUUGACAUCAGAUCCAAUAGCCGAUGAUUAA